UAGCGCUAAUACCGGAUACUUAAAUAUCUCGCAUGAGGUAUUUAUAAAAGGAGCCUUUAAAGCUUCACAAGGGGAUCGGGGUGCGUAACAUUAGCUAGUUGGUGAGGUAAUGGCUCACCAAGGCGAUGAUGUUUAGCGGGGUUGAGAGACUGAUCCGCCACACUGGGACUGAGAUACGGCCCAGACUCCUACGGGAGGCAGCAGUAGGGAAUUUUCCACAAUGGGCGAAAGCCUGAUGGAGCGACACAGCGUGCAGGAUGAAGGCCUUCGGGUUGUAAACUGCUGUUAUAAGGGAAGAAAAAGUCGAGGAGGAAAUGCCUUGACCUUGACGGUACCUUAUCAGAAAGCAACGGCUAACUAUGUGCCAGCAGCCGCGGUAAUACAUAGGUCGCAAGCGGUUAUCCGAAAGCAACGGCU
rnacentral:rRNA from 1 species